rnacentral:rRNA from 1 species
GGCUCAUUAUAUAAGUUAUCGUUUAUUUGAUAGUACCUUACUACUUGGAUAACCGUGGUAAUUCUAGAGCUAAUACAUGCUAAAAAUCCCGACUUCGGAAGGGAUGUAUUUAUUAGAUUAAAAACCAAUGCCCUUCGGGGCUCUCUGGUGAUUCAUGAUAACUUCUCGAAUCGCAUGGCCUUGUGCCGGCGAUGGUUCAUUCAAAUUUCUUCCCUAUCAACUUUCGAUGUUUGGGUAUUGGCCAAACAUGGUUGCAACGGGUAACGGAGGGUUAGGGCUCGACCCCGGAGAAGGAGCCUGAGAAACGGCUACUACAUCCAAGGAAGGCAGCAGGCGCGCAAAUUACCCAAUCCCGACACGGGGAGGUAGUGACAAUAAAUACUGAUACAGGGCUCUUUCGGGUCUUGUAAUUGGAAUGAGUACAAUUUAAAUCCCUUAACGAGGAACAAUUGGAGGGCAAGUCUGGUGCCAGCAGCCGCGGUAAUUCCAGCUCCAAUAGCGUAUAUUAAAGUUGUUGUGGUUAAAAAGCUCGUAGUUGAACCUUGGGCCUGGCUGGCCGGUCCGCCUCACCGCGUGUACUGGUCCGGCCGGGCCUUUCCCUCUGUGGAACCCCAUGCCCUUCACUGGGUGUGGCGGGGAAACAGGACUUUUACUUUGAAAAAAUUAGAGUGCUCCAGGCAGGCCUAUGCUCGAAUACAUUAGCAUGGAAUAAUAGAAUAGGACGUGUGGUUCUAUUUUGUUGGUUUCUAGGACCGCCGUAAUGAUUAAUAGGGACAGUCGGGGGCAUCAGUAUUCAAUUGUCAGAGGUGAAAUUCUUGGAUUUAUUGAAGACUAACUACUG